UAAAUUUCUCGAGAUUUCUCUCCGCACGCGGGCUGGAGGAGCGGAAUCCCUGGCUCGCAUUGUUGCUCAAGCUGUGCCUUCACCCCCCAACUCCCGUCUUACCUGACUUCCUCUUGGAAGGAAGAUUCCCUGAGUAGAGCCUUUUCUCUCCGUUCGGGAGAAAAGAUUUGGAAAAACCCAAGUCUUAACUCACCCUUUUCCUUCUUUAAGCCGUACCUCGGUACCUCUCUCCAUGGCAGUUCCCGAGACCCGCCUCAACCACACUAUUUAUAUCAACAACCUCAAUGAGAAGAUCAAGAAGGAUGAGCUGAAGAAGUCCCUGUAUGCCAUUUUCUCCCAGUUUGGCCAGAUCCUGGAUAUUCUGGUGUCGCGGAGCCUCAAGAUGAGAGGUCAGGCCUUUGUUAUCUUCAAGGAGGUCAGCAGCGCCACCAAUGCCCUGCGAUCUAUGCAGGGUUUCCCCUUCUAUGACAAGCCCAUGCGUAUCCAGUAUGCCAAGACUGAUUCAGAUAUCAUUGCCAAGAUGAAGGGCACCUUUGUGGAGAGGGACCGCAAGCGGGAGAAGAGGAAGCCCAAGAGCCAGGAGACCCCAGCUGCCAAGAAGGCUGUGCAGGGUGGGGCGGCUGCUCCCGUGGUGGGAGCGGUCCAGGGGCCUGUCCCGGGCAUGCCUCCAAUGACUCAGGCACCCCGCAUCAUGCACCACAUGCCGGGCCAGCCUCCCUACAUGCCACCCCCUGGCAUGAUCCCGCCACCAGGCCUUGCACCAGGCCAGAUCCCACCAGGGGCCAUGCCCCCACAACAGCUUAUGCCAGGGCAGAUGCCACCUGCCCAACCUCUUUCCGAGAAUCCACCAAAUCACAUCUUGUUCCUUACCAAUCUGCCAGAGGAGACCAACGAGCUCAUGCUGUCCAUGCUUUUCAACCAGUUCCCUGGCUUCAAGGAGGUCCGCUUGGUCCCUGGGCGGCAUGACAUCGCCUUUGUGGAGUUUGACAACGAGGUGCAGGCAGGGGCAGCUCGGGAUGCCCUCCAGGGCUUUAAGAUCACCCAGAACAACGCCAUGAAAAUCUCCUUUGCCAAGAAGUAGCACCUUUUCCCUAGGCCUGUCUUUACCCCUGUUCUGGGGCUGUCCCUUCCCCCUUGGCUCAGCCCCUGAAGAAGGCUGGUAACUGAAACCACAGAAAUUGAAAACUGCUGAUGGUGGGGAGUGGACACUACAGCAAAAAUAAUGGGAUGUCACUUCCACGAUAAGAUUACAAAGACUGGCUUCUUGUUGCUAGCUGUCUUUG